UACAGAGGGUGCGAGCGUUGUCCGGAAUCACUGGGCGUAAAGGGCGCGUAGGCGGCUCGGUAAGGUUGCGGUGAAAGCCCGGGGCUCAACCCCGGGUCGGCCGUGGCAACUGCUGAGCUGGAGCACUGUAGAGGCAGGUGGAAUUCCGGGUGUAGCGGUGGAAUGCGUAGAGAUCCGGAAGAACACCGGUGGCGAAGGCGGCCUGCUGGGCAGUGGCUGACGCUGAGGCGCGCAGCGUGGGGAGCGAACAGG
rnacentral:rRNA from 1 species